rnacentral:lncRNA from 1 species
UGUGAACUUACAGUUACACAAAUAAGAAACAAAUGGUACAUUUAUUUCAAGUUGUUAAAGAGUUUGUGGGCCACGCAAUGGUCCUUUGCAUGCAAGAAGUCAAAGAGCUCCUCCGUGCAAUCCUCUUCUGUAUGUGAUCGAGAGGAUACAUGCUCAUCACAGAGCUCUAGCCGCUCCCGGGCCUUUACACAUUUCUCCAACUGCUCGCAUUGCUCUCUCACUGUUAUUAGGGGAUCCACUAAUUCCUCCUCUUCCUCUUCCUCUUCCUCCUCCUCAGGAUCUCCGGAUUUGGUAAGCAUCUUUUGCUCGUCCUCCAGUCCCAUGUCUGGCUACGGUUCUAGAUUCAACACGAGCAGCAACAGCGGCACCU